rnacentral:rRNA from 1 species
UGGGGGAUAUUGCACAAUGGGCGAAAGCCUGAUGCAGCGACGCCGCGUGGGGGAUGAAGGCCUUCGGGUUGUAAACUUCUUUUGCUCUGAACGAGGCGCACCAUGGGGUGUGUUGAGUGUAGGGGUUGAUUAGCGCCGGCUAACUACGUGCCAGCAGCCGCGGUAAUACGUAGGGCGCGAGCGUUGUCCGGAAUUAUUGGGCGUAAAGGGCUUGUAGGUGGCUGGUUGCGUCUGUCGUGAAAGCUCAUGGCUUAACUGUGGGUUUGCGGUGGGUACGGGCUGGCUUGAGUGCAGUAGGGGAGGCUGGAAUUCCUGGUGUAGCGGUGGAAUGCGCAGAUAUCAGGAGGAAUACCGGUGGCGAAGGCGGGUCUCUGGGCUGUUACUGACACUGAGGAGCGAAAGCAUGGGGAGCGAACAGG